GUUUGAUCCUGGCUCAGAACGAACGCUGGCGGCAGGCUUAACACAUGCAAGUCGAGCGAGACCUUCGGGUCUAGCGGCGGACGGGUUAGUAACGCGUGGGAACGUGCCCUNUACUACGGAAUAGUCCCGGGAAACGGGUUUAAUACCGUAUACGCCCUUCGGGGGAAAGAUUUAUCGGUAAAGGAUCGGCCCGCGUUAGAUUAGAUAGUUGGUGGGGUAAAGGCCUACCAAGUCUACGAUCUAUAGCUGGUUUGAGAGGAUGAUCAGCAACACUGGGACUGAGACACGGCCCAGACUCCUACGGGAGGCAGCAGUGGGGAAUCUUAGACAAUGGGCGCAAGCCUGAUCUAGCCAUGCCGCGUGAGUGACGAAGGCCUUAGGGUCGUAAAGCUCUUUCGCCAGGGA
rnacentral:rRNA from 1 species